rnacentral:misc_RNA from 1 species
AGAGGGCUAAGGGUAAUUGUUGGGGUGGCGGCUGGUGGCACUACUUUGUUUAUGGUUCACGCGGGGAAGAGGUACAGGCGGAGACACAGAGGGGGCGGAAUGACACUCUGAUCGUAUUUUGGCCCGUUUUUCCGGACUGCUGCAUGCUAAGGGGCAGGCAGGAUGGGGAAGUUACUGAGCAAGAUCUUCGGCAACAAGGAGAUCCGAAUUUUGAUGCUGGGACUGGACGCGGCCGGGAAGACCACCAUUCUAUACAAGCUGAAGCUGGGCCACUCUGUCACCACCAUACCAACUGUGGGCUUCAAUGUGGAGACUGUUGCGUACAAGAACGUCAAAUUUAAUGUCUGGGACGUGGGCGGGCAGGACAAGAUUCGGCCGCUGUGGAGGCAUUACUACACCGGCACCCAGGGGCUCAUCUUUGUGGUGGACUGCGCUGACCGGGACCGCGUGGACGAGGCGCGGCAGGAGCUUCACCGCAUCAUCAACGACCGCGAGAUGAGGGAUGCCAUCAUCCUGGUCUUUGCCAACAAGCAGGACCUUCCAGAUGCCAUGAAGCCACACGAGAUCCAGGAGAAGCUCGGCCUGACCAGGAUCCGCGACCGCAACUGGUACGUGCAGCCGUGUUGUGCCACCACCGGGGACGGCCUGUAUGAGGGCCUCACCUGGCUCACCAGCAACCACAAGUCGUGAUGACUGGGCCACGCUACUCCCACUCCCACUCCUCCUACUACUACUCUUCUCACUCCCACUCCAUCAUCGCCCCUUCCUUCUCCUCCUCCUCCAUCGUCUUAGUUGGCUCCCUAGCCCAGCCAGCAAGAAGGCUUGGCGCUGCCACUGCCGCUGCCACUGCCAUUGCCCCUGCCCCCCUGCCAGGGUAAUGCGUGAUAGUCUAAUGUUUGUGUUGAGACGGUACACUCAGGUCUCCCUCCAGCCACCACCGCUGCCUCCCUCCCACCUGUCACUGCGCCAGACAAGCAAGGCAGGGCUAACACCUGCCAGGCCAGGUCAACGCACAAGGAAUGCUGAGUGUGUGGCAGGGUAGGAUGAGGCAGGGCAGGACAGGGCAGGGCAGGGCAGGGCAGGGUAAGGCAAGGCAAGGCAAGGCAAGCUGGCCUGGGUGCUGACAGACUGUGGGGCAGCUGUUGCCUGAAGCCCAGCUGCUCGUGUAUUUGUGUGUGUGUGUGUGUAUGUAUGUACGGAGGAAGUGGACUGAGUGCACACCUGAGUCAGAAGAGUGGUGGUGAGGGACAUUUAUAUAUAUAUAUAUACAUACAUAUAUAUAUAUACAGUAUAUAUAUAUUUUUUAUCUCUGUUCUUUGAGUAUUAAGGUUUGAACAAGACUGCCAAAUGGUUAGAAUGAUCUCCUGUAGUCCAGAGUCAGUAGGAUCUUGUCUCUUCAAUGGUUUAUCUCUUCCUUUCUUGGUACGUACGUACGUAUGUAGUCCGUUGAACAUUGGUGAACUGACCACACAAAACAUAGAAAAACACUAAAGCUGCUCACAACACCAAUCAAAGGAAAACACAAUCGGCGGUCCAGUGUGGCCUGGCAACCCUCCACAGCAGUCCAGGCAGCGUGGCGUGGCGUGGCGUCAUAGCAGCGGCGGCAGCGCGACACUCCCACUAGUUAAUGACAUUUUCCAUUUAGCGAGAUGACACAGAGUCACCAUCGCCAGGUGACUCCCUCUCGGGGCGUGACCCUCGUACCACGGGGCAGGUGUCGGGGCAGCAGGGCCACUCAUAUUGAUGUGUGCCCCACAGCGCCACCCCCACCCCGCCCCACCCCGCCCAGCACCCCGGGGUUUGUUAUUGUGAUGUCCUAUCUCACUGGUUCUUCCCGCGCACAAAGACAGCUCCAAGCACUGCACUGAUUACCUUAGUGUCCCGUGCUGUAUAUAGCGUCCCAGGUGCUGCUCCCCUCCCCUGCUCACCACACCAUGGCUCUUCCUCCACUAACUGCAAAGUCAAACCUCAUGAGACCACCAUGUCGUGUCCUCUUUCUCUCCUCAUUCCCUGUAAAGGCCAACCUCAUAAGACUUUAUGUCCUCUAUCUUUCCUCCUCACUCCCAGAAAAGUCCAACCUCAUGAGGCCUCUGUGUCCUCUCCCUCUCCUUCUCACUCCCUGGAAAGUUAAGUUACCUUAUGAGACCUCCACCACACCUGGGCUCCUCCUCCUCGUCCUCAUUGCCUUGUGUGGCCCCGCUGUACCUUCCCCUUGGUGUGUGUGAGGUGUGUGUGGGAGCGCAGUGCUGUUAUUUAUGUACACGUCUUUUUCCAGCGUUCUUUUCCCCUCAGUAAUAUCACCCCAAUAGAUGCAUAUUUCUUAUUUUCUCCACCACCUUUCCUCCCCCUUGUAAAUAAUAUGCAGAGAUAGUACUACUAUUACUACUACUACUAGGCGGGGCACAAACUGCUUAUGUCGGUGUGGAUGUGAUUACCCGUGUCAGAGCCUCAAAUUGCCAGCAGAUUUUUGCACUUCUGAGAGGGUUUAUCUUUUUUAAAAUUUAUUUUUAAUUAAUUAAUUUAAUUUUUUUUUCUUUUAUUCCAUUAUUGGUUAUUUGGCUUCCCUCGUGCUGCAUUCCAUCGCUUGCUGCUAGACUUGACACAGUGACUAGCCAAGGCAUCAGUGUCACUGCUCCUGCACCUGAGGGAGAGAGAGAGAAAGAGAGGGACAGAGGGACAGGAUGAAUUUGAGUGAAUGAGUUAGUUAGUUAGAUUCACUCGUUAUGAAGCGGGGUUAGGCUAGCAGUGUUCUGGGGGCCCUGCGCGGUCGUGUUUAUACCUAACGAGGCUGGAAGGAAGUGUGUUUGCGAUUAAGGACGUGCUUUGCCGUGCUGUACAUAGAGUUAGAGAGCGGGAGAGUGCGUGUGUGAGUGCUUGAGUGAGUCUACGAGGCAUGCAGGAGACUUUAUCAUACAACUCUCCCCAAUGUGUAUUAAUUUUUUCUCAUUGAUUCAUCAUUUCCUUUGUGAACUUUUUGAUGUAUGUAAAUGUUGGUUUCCUUGCCCCCUCACCUCUCCUGCAUAUUUUUCUGUAUAUUUUUUGAGUACGAGAUGCGUGGGUCGUAUGGCUAAGUAAGACAUGUGUUGGUUUAUAUAUAUAUAAGAGAUUUUUUCACCCAAGCUACAUAAGUACAGAUGUUGUCCUUUUCUAGUGGACGUGACCUAAUGUGUGUGUGUGUGUGUGUGUGUGUGUGUGUGUGUGUGUGUGUGUGUGUGUGUGUGUGUGUGUGUGUGUG